GUACUAUGGUGCAGGCAUUUCCUAAGUAGCAACUUGAAGUGUUCUCAUGCUUCAUAUAAAUUCUCACCUUUGAAUUGCUUAAAAUUAGCAAUGCCGCACCUUAAUUG
rfam:Gossypium hirsutum cultivar TM-1 chromosome 11, whole genome shotgun sequence